GUACCCUGUACAGGUGCUGCAUGGCUGUCGUCAGCUCGUGCCGUGAGGUGUUGGGUUAACGUCCCGCAACGAGCGCAACCCUACUGCCAGUUACUAACAGGUAACGCUGAGGACUCUGGCGGAACUGCCGGUGACAAACCGGAGGAAGGUGGGAUGACGUCAAGUCAUCAUGGCCCCUAUGUCCAGGGCUACACACGUGCUACAAUGGGCGAUACAGGGUGACGCGAAGCCGCGAGGUGGAGCAAAUCGCAGAAAAUCGCUCUCAGUUCGGAUUGGAGUCUGAAACCCGACUCCAUGAAGGUGGAAUCGCUAGUAAUCGCGCAUCAGCAUGGCGCGGUGAAUACGUUCCCGGGCCUU
rnacentral:rRNA from 1 species